UUCCGGUUGAUCCUGCCGGACCUUACUGCUAUCGGGGUGGGACUAAGACAUGCGAGUCGAGCGUCUCUAGCUAUGUUGAGACGCGGCAGACGGCUCAGUAACACGUGGCUAACCUACCCUCAGGACGAGGAUAAACCCGGGAAACUGGGGCUAAUACUCGAUAGGUGAGAAUGUCUGGAAUGGUUUCUCAUUCAAAGGGCUUUAGAAACAUGCUUCUAAAGUCGCCUGGGGAUGGGGCCGCGUCCGAUCAGGUUGUUGGUGAGGUAACGGCUCACCAAGCCUAUAACCGGUACGGGCCGUGAGAGCGGUAGCCCGGAGAUGGGUACUGAGACAAGGACCCAGGCACUACGGGGCGCAGCAGUCGCGAAAACUCCGCAAUGCACGAAAGUGUGACGGGGCUACCCCGAGUGCCAUCCGCUGAGGAUGGCUUUUCUUUGGUGUAACUAGCCGGGGGAAUAAGGAGAGGGCAAGACUGGUGUCAGCCGCCGCGGUAAUACCAGCUCUCCGAGUGGUAGGGAUGAUUAUUGGGCUUAAAGCGUCCGUAGCCGGCUUAGCAAGUCUCCUGUUAAAUUCAGCGACCUAAUCGUUGAGCCGCGGGAGAUACUACUAGGCUAGGAGGCGGGAGAGGUCGACGGUACUUCUGGGGUAGGGGUGAAAUCCUAUAAUCCCGGGAGGACCACCAGUGGCGAAGGCUGUUGACUAGAACGCGCUCGACGGUGAGGGACGAAAGCUGGGGGAGCGAACCGGAUUAGAUACCCGGGUAGUCCCAGCCGUAAACGAUGCGGGCUAGGUGUUGGGGUGGCUACGUGCCACUUCAGUGCCGCAGGGAAGCCAUUAAGCCCGCCGCCUGGGGAGUACGGCCGCAAGGCUGGGAACUUAAAGGAAUUGGCGGGGGAGCACACAAGGCGUGAAGCUUGCGGUCAUUGGACUCAACGCG
rnacentral:rRNA from 1 species